rnacentral:rRNA from 1 species
AAAUGACUCUCGGCAACGGAUAUCUUGGCUCACGCAUCGAUGAAGAACGUAGCAAAAUGCGAUACUUGGUGUGAAUUGCAGAAUCCCGUGAACCAUCGAGUUUUUGAACGCAAGUUGCGCCCGAAGCCUUUUGGCCGAGGGCACGUCUGCCUGGGCGUCACAC